AGUCGAACGGCAGCACGGACUUCGGUCUGGUGGCGAGUGGCGAACGGGUGAGAUUAAUGUAUCGGAACGUGCCUAGUAGCGCAUGAAGGGGAUAACUACGCGAAAGCGUAGCUAAUACCCGCAUACGCCCUUCGGAAAGCAGGGCCCUUCGGGCCUCGCACUAUUGAAGCGAAGCAGAUAUCGGAUUAGCUAGUUGGUGGGGUAACGGCUCACCAAGGCGACGAUCCGUAGCUGGUUUGAAGGACGUUCAGCCACACUGGGACGAGACACGGCCCAGACUCCUACAGGAGGCAGCAGUGGGGAAUUUUUGGACAAUGGGGGGAAACCCUGAUCCAGCCAUCCCGCGUGUGCGAUGAAGGCCUUCGGGUUGUAAAGCACUUUUGGCAGGAAAGAAACGGCACGGGAUAAUACCCCGUGCAACUGACAGUACCUGCAGAAUAAGCACCGGCUAACUACGUGCCAGCAGCCGCGGUAAUACGUAGGGUGCAGAUUAAUCGGAAUUACUGGGCGUAAAGCGUGCGCAGGCGGUUCCGGAAAGAAAGAUGUGAAAUCCCAGAGCUUAACUUUGGAACUGCAUUUUUUAACUGCAAGGCUAGGUGUGUCAGAGGGAGGUGGAAUUCCCGCGAUGUAGCAGUGAAAUGCGUAGAUAUGCGGAGGAACACCGAUGGCGAAGGCAGCCUCCUGAAGUUCACUGACGCUCAUGCACGAAAAGCGUGGGGAGCAAACAGGAUUAGAUACCUGGUAGUCCACGCCCUAAACGAUGUCAACUAGCUGUUGGGGCCUUCCGGGCCUUGGUAGCGCAGCUAACGCGUGAAGUUGACCGCCUGGGAAGUACGGUCGCAAGAUUAAAACUCAAGUUGACAGGGACCCGCACAAGCGGUGGGAUGAUGUGGAUUAAUUCGAUGCAACGCGAAAAACACCACCUACCCUUGGCAAUGUCUGGAGUCGAAAGAGAUUUGGGGGUGCUCGCAAGGGAACCGGAACACAGGUGCUGCAUGGCUGGCAAUGGCUCGUGUCGUGAGAUGUUGGGUUAAGUCCGCAACGAGCGCAACCCUUGUCAAUGAAUUUCUGCUACGAAAGGGCACUCUAAUGAGACUGCCGGUGACAAACCGGAGGGAAGGUGGGGAUGACGUCAGGUCCUCGCUGGCCCUUAUGGGUGGGGGCUUCACACGUCAUACAAUGGUCGGGACAGAGGGUCGCCAACCCGCGAGGAGCCAAUCCCAGAAACCCGAUCGUAGUCCGGAUCGCAGUCUGCAACUCGACUGCGUGAAGUCGGAAUCGCUAGUAAUCGCGGAUCAGCAUGUCGUAGCGUUCCCGGGUCUUGUACACACCGCCCGUCACACCAUGGGAGAGUGGGUUUUACCAGAAGUAGUUAGCCUAACCGUAAGGAGGGCGAUUACCACGUGGGAUUCAUGACUGGGGUGAAGUCGUAACAAGGUGGCUCUGUUGCUACACAGUGCUCCACGA
rnacentral:rRNA from 1 species